rnacentral:rRNA from 1 species
AAAGGGGCUUCGGCCCUGAGUAGAGUGGCGAACGGGUGAGUAACACGUGGGUGAUCUACCUCUGAGUGGGGGAUAACGUUCCGAAAGGAACGCUAAUACCGCAUGACGUUCCGGGUUUGAAGACCGGGAAACCAAAGUCGGGGACCGCAAGGCCUGACGCUUGGAGAGGAGCCCGCGCCUGAUUAGCUAGUUGGUGAGGUAACGGCUCACCAAGGCAACGAUCAGUAGCCGGCCUGAGAGGGCGGACGGCCACACUGGGACUGAGACACGGCCCAGACUCCUACGGGAGGCAGCAGUGGGGAAUUGUUCGCAAUGGGCGCAAGCCUGACGACGCAACGCCGCGUGGAGGAUGAAGGUCUUCGGAUUGUAAACUCCUGUUGAUCGGGACGAAUGAGCAACGACCUAACACGUCGGAGCAGUGACGGUACCGAUUGAGGAAGCCACGGCUAACUCUGUGCCAGCAGCCGCGGUAAUACAGAGGUGGCAAGCGUUGUUCGGAAUUACUGGGCGUAAAGGGCGCGUAGGCGGCCUUCUAAGUCAGACGUGAAAUCCCCAGGCUUAACUUGGGAACUGCGUCUGAUACUGGGAGGCUUGAGUGCGGGAGAGGGAUGUGGAAUUCCAGGUGUAGCGGUGAAAUGCGUAGAUAUCUGGAGGAACACCGGUGGCGAAGGCGGCAUCCUGGACCGACACUGACGCUGAGGCGCGAAAGCUAGGGGAGCAAACGGGAUUAGAUACCCCGGUAGUCCUAGCCCUAAACGAUGAGUGCUUGGUGUGGCGGGUAUCGAUCCCUGCCGUGCCGAAGCUAACGCAUUAAGCACUCCGCCUGGGGAGUACGGUCGC